rnacentral:rRNA from 1 species
UGGGGAAUAUUGGACAAUGGAGGAAACUCUGAUCCAGCAAUUCUGUGUGUGUGAAGAAGGUUUUAGGACUGUAAAACACUUUUAGUAGGGAAGAAAAAAAUGACGGUACCUACAGAAGAAGCAACGGCUAAAUACGUGCCAGCAGCCGCGGUAAUACGUAUGUUGCGAGCGUUAUCCGGAAUUAUUGGGCUUAAAGGGCAUCUAGGCGGUAAGACAAGUUGAAGGUGAAAACCUGUGGCUCAACCAUAGGCUUGCCUACAAAACUGUUGAACUAGAGUACUGGAAAGGUGGGUGGAACUACACGAGUAGAGGUGAAAUUCGUAGAUAUGUGUAGGAAUGCCGAUGAUGAAGAUAACUCACUGGACAGAAACUGACGCUGAAGUGCGAAAGCUAGGGGAGCAAACAG